CGGGACUGCGCCCCCGGAAUGGUUCUGCUCCCGUGAACAGCCUGGGCCAGCCCAGAGAGGAGCCCCGGGCGAGGAGGGGACAGAGGGACAGAGGGGACAGAGGGGACAGAGGGGGCAGUGGGCAGUGGGAGCAGUGGGCAGUUGGGCAGUGAAGGCAGUGGUCAAUGGGUAGUGGGGGCAGUGGUCAGUGGUCAGUUGGGCAGUGGGAUCAGUUGAGCAGUUGGGCAGUGGGGGCAGUCACUGGGGGCAGUGGUCAGUUGAGCAGUUGGGCAGUGGGGGACAGAGGGGACAGAGGGGACAGAGGGGACAGAGGGGGCAGUGGUCAGUGGGAGCAGUGGGGGCAGUGGUCAGUGGUCAGUUGGUCAGUGGUCAGUGGUCAGUUGGGCAGUGGGAUCAGUUGAGCAGUUGGGCAGUGGGGGCAGUGGUCACUGGGGGUAGUGGUGAGUGGGGCAGUGGUCAGUGGGGCAGUUGGGCAGUUGGGAGGUCAGUUGGGCAGUGGUCAGCGGGGCAGUGGUCAGUUGGUCAGUGGUCAGUGGUCAGUGUGGCAGUGGGGUCAGUGGUCAGUGGUCAGUGGUCAGUGUGGUCAGUGGUCAGUGUGGUCAGUGGUCAGUGGUCAGUGGUCAGUGUGGUCAGUGGUCAGUGUGGUCAGUGGUCAGUGGUCAGUGGGGUCAGUGGUCACUGGUCAGUGGUCAGUGGUCAGCUGAGCUGCCCAUCCUGGGCUGUGUCUCAGCUGCAGGAGCUGGACCUCACGUGUGCUGCGCCGGCUCCAGCACGGGGGCACCGGCUGGGAUCCUGCAGGAGCAGCAGCGAGGGGAUGGGUGGCCUGAGCCGGGGGCCGUGAGCCCAGCCAUGCUCGGGGCUUUCCUCGGCCCUUCCUGGGAAUGUCCCACCGUGCCACACGGCCCCAGAAAGCUGGGCAAGAGGAGCAGCAGCAAAGGAGAUUUUGCACAGCUUCACUUCUUGGUUCGUGAGCACUGAAGCAUCAGCUGCAGAGACCAUCCC
rnacentral:lncRNA from 12 species